UGCUAUCUGCAGUCGAGCGGAUCGAUGGGAGCUUGCUCCCUGAGAUCAGCGGCGGACGGGUGAGUAACACGUGGGUAACCUGCCUGUAAGACUGGGAUAACUCCGGGAAACCGGGGCUAAUACCGGAUAACACCUACCCCCGCAUGGGGGAAGGUUGAAAGGUGGCUUCGGCUAUCACUUACAGAUGGACCCGCGGCGCAUUAGCUAGUUGGUGAGGUAAUGGCUCACCAAGGCGACGAUGCGUAGCCGACCUGAGAGGGUGAUCGGCCACACUGGGACUGAGACACGGCCCAGACUCCUACGGGAGGCAGCAGUAGGGAAUCUUCCGCAAUGGACGAAAGUCUGACGGAGCAACGCCGCGUGAGUGAAGAAGGUUUUCGGAUCGUAAAACUCUGUUGUUAGGGAAGAACAAGUGCCGUUCGAAUAGGGCGGCGCCUUGACGGUACCUAACCAGAAAGCCACGGCUAACUACGUGCCAGCAGCCGCGGUAAUACGUAGGUGGCAAGCGUUGUCCGGAAUUAUUGGGCGUAAAGCGCGCGCAGGUGGUUUCUUAAGUCUGAUGUGAAAGCCCACGGCUCAACCGUGGAGGGUCAUUGGAAACUGGGGAACUUGAGUGCAGAAGAGGAAAGUGGAAUUCCAAGUGUAGCGGUGAAAUGCGUAGAUAUUUGGAGGAACACCAGUGGCGAAAGGCGACUUUCUGGUCUGUAACUGACACUGAGGCGCGAAAGCCGUGGGGGAGCAAACAGGAUUAGAUACCCUGGUAGUCCACGCCGUAAACGAUGAGUGCUAAUGUUAGAGGGUUUCCCCCUUUAGUGCUGCAGCUAACCCAUUAAGCACUCCGCCUGGGAGU
rnacentral:rRNA from 1 species